AUGAAGUCACUGAGGUAAAUGACAGCUGCAGGCUCCUCCCAUCAGUAUCAACCAUGGACAGCAUCAGCCCAGAGACUGGAGAGGGACUGAGCCCACACGAGGACCAAAUGGCCUCCACCAGGCAGAGAGAAGAGCUCUGGGGCCAGGAGACAGGCCCGGAACACUUGCCUGGGAGACUCAGAAAGAGAGGUGCAACCUGCACCACUGGGUAGUGGAUCUGGCUACUUACUGAGACCACCUUGUUCUGCGGGGAGAGGAAUCAGGGAGCUGAGCGGAGUCCCAGAUGAGCAAACAGAAGUUCAUCUGCCAGAGAACCCAGAGGAGCAGGAGGCUGAAGCUGAGAGGGCGUUUCCCUUUCUUCUUAAGAAAAUUGUUCAGAAUUGAUGAAAAUAGCUGGGAAAGCAUUUGUGGAAAUGUUAAUAGCAGGGAAAGUUAACCCAACUUGAAUUCUCUGCCUUGAGUUAGGAGGGAAGACGGCAUGCCAAGCAAACAUGGAUCUGGAUUUCAGGGCAGAAGGAUCCACAGAUGCACAGCCCAGCUCCCAGGCCCAACAGUGGGACUCCGGUACAGCCCGAGGCUUUUGUAGAGAGGUCAGUGUUCUUGUCUGAGCCUCUAGUAACCCUGCGAGGUUUCAGUACGAGGAGCAGGAAUUAAGAUACUGAAACAAAAGGAAGAAAUGGACUCGCAUUUGUUGAGCCCACUAUGUGCUAAAUGCUUUAUAGUCAUUGACAAAUUUAAACCUCAUAACAAUAUUUUAAAUAUGUAGUAAAGUCCCACUUGAUAGCAGAGAAGACUGAGGCUCUGAGAGUUGUAGUAGAGUUGGGGCAGUCUGAUUUGAGACCCCCUAAGGGACAAGGGAGAUGACAUGGAAGGUCAGAGCCCCUCGGGCUGGUGCCUCUGUGACCCUCAGUGGCCGGGUAUCCCUGUCUGCACAGUGAGAGGGCUGGGCUCAUGAUCUCACCCAGAUCUGGGCUGAAUCCCACCUCUGUCAUUGUAGGGCAGCGUGACCUUGGGCAAGUUAGUUAUACUUCCCGUGCCUCCUACAGUUUACCAGGGUUGAUUGUCAACGACAAGAGCUGGCCUUUCUACUUCUUCCACCAUCCAUCUUCUAUAUGGAGUUACAGAACUUGUCAGUCCAGGGCAGAGCCCAGGAGCCCGCAUCUUCCUCCCUUGUAGGCUUUGGCCAGUGGCACCCAGUGUGUGCUGUUCCCCGGAGGGUGAAGCAGCAGCCCUUUCAGACACACGCUGGCAGGCACCACGGCUCCGGGAUGCCAGCUGAGGCCUUCCAGCCGGCAGCUUCCUAAGUGGCCACAGAUGUGGUGUGAGAUCACACAGCAAGCCAGCUGCUGAUGAGAGGAAAACAUCCUCCCCACUCCAGUGGCCUCUGCCUUCUCUCAGAGCUGCGCUUCAUCCAAGGAGGAUUUGAAGAGGACACUUGUGAAAAGCAUGCACAGAAAAAAUUGGUGCGGUGGCUCAAUUUCCUGACCUGCUCCAUGGAAGGUGACCUAAUGGUGGUGACUGCGGGAGGAGCAGCAGCAAUAGCAGGAGUGGUACUCAAGUUCUGGAUGGCUAUCAUAAUGGAAAUAAAUCUUAGUCCACACACUCUUCAUUAACCUGGAAACCAGUGGGCAACAUUGACGACUGACAGGAGGGGACCUUGCCUCCAAGGCUCCAAGGCCGGAUAAGAAUGGCUUUACCUUCCUGACUCCAGAAAGAACCGCCCUUUUUCCCCACCUCCCUGAUGGCUUCCUGGUGCUUGUGAUUCUACCAGACUAGCUUUUCCUUUCCCCCUAAUAAUAGCUGCUAAUUAAUAUUUAGCGAGGGUUUACCAAGCGCCGGGCUCUGAGCUAAGUACCUUGUAUGUACUUUUUUCAUUUAAUCCUCUCAACAGUUCUACUAGGAAGGUACUACUAUUUUCAGUAUUUACUAAUAUUUGGGUAUUUCUUAAUUACUAAAAACAUUUCUCAUUCUACAGAUGAAAAUUGAGAGUAGAAGUUGGUCAGUAGCUUUCCGAAGUCAGCUAGAUAGAAAGAAGGCAUUGAAGUCUAUGGCCAUACCACCCUGAAUGCGCCCAAUCUCGUCUGAAAGAAGGCAUUGAAGCAGAGCUCAGACAUCCCAACCCCAGACUCUCCACCAAACCAUUGUCUUUGUUCCUCAUAGUGUGGUCCUUAGACCAGCAGUCGUAGAGUUAUUUGGGAGCUUGUGAUGCAAGAAUCUCAGGCCCUGCCCAGACUUGCAAAAUCAGACUCAGCAUUUUAAACACAAUCCCCCAGAGUUGGUAUGCACAUUACAGUUUGAGAAACGUGCCUGGUUAUAAGAGCUUCCUUCCCUCGCAAGACGCAAAUCCGUCUUGCAUGAGGAACACAGCCGAUACCAGACAGAGAUACUUCAACAGGAAUGAGUUUCAGCUCUUCUCUGGGAAGCAGGAUGUUAGGAACCCAGCGGGGCCACCAGGCUGUUGAGGGACACGAGGAAGUGGAAGGGAUGGCCUUUGUAAUUGCCAUCAUCAGAAACGGGUUGGCCUAGAAAUCUGUAUCCCAAGGUGAAGCAAUGUCUUUUUUUCUGCAUGCUUUUUUCCUGCAUGUUGCAGAGUUGGGAGAACAGACUGCCUGUGUAGACCCCAGUGAGAAACAGCUGCAAAGAGGCAUUUCUGGGUUUUACUUCCCCUGGGCCUCUGCAUCCUCACCUAGGUGGGUGAGAGCAGUGAAUCUACCUGCUUACCUCACAGGUGUGCCUUGAGCACUGUCAAGAGUGGGAAAGGCUUUGCAAAGUUCAGAGCAGGAUCCAGGUCUAGGGUGCAAUCCUUAUUGCUAGGUGGGUCAGUCAUUUGAUCUCCCUUUUGCCCAGCAAAGCCACUUCAUAAAACCCCUUGCUGGAAGGCCAGAUCCAGGUCCCUCUGCUUCCAUGCAUGCCUGCCUGCCUGCCUCCCACUGCCACUCCCCUGCUGCUCCACAUGCUAGCCUGGGUGCAUUCAGGGGCCCACUGUCUUGUUUUCUGAUGCCAGUGCUAGAAAAGUUCUGCUCUUUCUAAAGGAACAUGGUACUUUCAAGGCCUUUGAGAACCAUGCCGUAUGUCAUUCAUGGUCACUGAAUCACAGACAGGAUUCCAAAUGGGCCUGAGAGAUCAGAGUCUUGUCUGCACGCAGUGGCUCAUGCCUAUAAUCUCAAGCACUUUGGGAGGCUGAAGCAGGAGGAUCACUGGAGGCCAGGAGUUCAAGACCCACAACACAGCGAGACCCCAUCUGUACAAAUAAUAAUAAUAAUAAUUUUUAAAAAAGAGUUCGGCCUCAGGAUAUAAGUCCCAGCUCUUCUGUUUAUUAGCCAUGUGAUCCUGGGUGAGUUUCUUAACCUCCCUGCAACUCAGUUUUCUCAUUUGCAAUGUGGGGAUAAUAACAGUCCCUAAUUUUCAGGAUUACUGGAAAUACUGAAUAAAAAACUAAAUAAAUACUAAUUUAUUAAACACUUAGUGCCUGCAUUUAGUUGACACUCCAGAUUGAUAGCUAUUACUAAACCAUAUUUGAGGCUGGGCG
rnacentral:lncRNA from 10 species